UGCAGUCGCACGAGAAAGGGGCUUCGGCCCUGAGUACAGUGGCGCACGGGUGAGUAACACGUGAAUUAUCUACCUUCGAGUGGGGAAUAACUGGGAGAAAUCUCAGCUAAUACCGCAUAACACCUACGGGUCAAAGCAGCAAUGCGCUUGAAGAGGAGUUCGCGGCAGAUUAGUUAGUUGGCGGGGUAAUGGCCCACCAAGACGAUGAUCUGUAUCCGGCCUGAGAGGGCGCACGGACACACUGGAACUGAAACACGGUCCAGACUCCUACGGGAGGCAGCAGUGGGGAAUUUUGCGCAAUGGGGGAAACCCUGACGCAGCAACGCCGCGUGGAGGAUGAAAUCCCUUGGGAUGUAAACUCCUUUCGAUCGGGACGAUUAUGACGGUACCGGAAGAAGAAGCCCCGGCUAACUUCGUGCCAGCAGCCGCGGUAAUACGAGGGGGGCAAGCGUUGUUCGGAAUUAUUGGGCGUAAAGGGCGCGUAGGCGGUUUGACAAGUCUGAUGUGAAAUCUCUGGGCUCAACCCAGAGUCUGCAUUAGAAACUGUCGGGCUUGAGUAUGGGAGAGGUGAGUGGAAUUUCCGGUGUAGCGGUGAAAUGCGUAGAUAUCGGAAGGAACACCUGUGGCGAAAGCGGCUCACUGGACCAUAACUGACGCUGAGGCGCGAAAGCUAGGGGAGCAAACAGGAUUAGAUACCCUGGUAGUCCUAGCCCUAAACGAUGAUUGCUUGGUGUGACAGUACCCAAUCCUGUCGUGCCGAAGCUAACGCGAUAAGCAAUCCGCCUGGGGAGUACGGUCGCA
rnacentral:rRNA from 1 species